GACGAACGCUGGCGGCGUGCUUAACACAUGCAAGUCGAACGGUGACGGAGAGCUUGCUCUCCUGAUCAGUGGCGAACGGGUGAGUAACACGUGGGCAAUCUGCCCCUGACUUCGGGAUAACGCUUCGAAAGAGGUGCUAAUACCGGAUACGAACUCGGCAGGCAUCUGCUGAGUUGGAAAGUUUUUCGGUCUGGGAUGGGCCCGCGGCCUAUCAGCUUGUUGGUGAGGUAACGGCUCACCAAGGCGACGACGGGUAGCCGGCCUGAGAGGGCGACCGGCCACACUGGGACUGAGACACGGCCCAGACUCCUACGGGAGGCAGCAGUGGGGAAUAUUGCGCAAUGGGCGAAAGCCUGACGCAGCAACGCCGCGUGAGGGAUGACGGCCUUCGGGUUGUAAACCUCUUUCAGCAGGGAAGAAGCGAAAGUGACGGUACCUGCAGAAGAAGCACCGGCUAACUACGUGCCAGCCGCCGCAGUAA
rnacentral:rRNA from 1 species